rnacentral:rRNA from 1 species
GUGAGGAAUAUUGGUCAAUGGGCGAGAGCCUGAACCAGCCAAGUCGCGUGAAGGAAGAAGGAUCUAUGGUUCGUAAACUUCUUUUGCAGGGGAAUAAAGUGCAGGACGUGUCCUGUUUUGUAUGUACCCUGAGAAUAAGGAUCGGCUAACUCCGUGCCAGCAGCCGCGGUAAUACGGAGGAUCCGAGCGUUAUCCGGAUUUAUUGGGGUUAAAGGGUGCGUAGGUGGUUUGAUAAGUCAGCGGUGAAAGUUUGCAGCUUAACUGUAAAAAUGCCAUUGAAACUGUCGGACUUGAGUGUAAAUGAGGUAGGCGGAAUGCGUGGUGUAGCGGUGAAAUGCAUAGAUAUCACGCAGAACUCCGAUUGCGAAGGCAGCUUACUAAGCUACAACUGACACUGAAGCACGAAUGCGUGGGGAUCAAACAGGAUUAGAAACCCCUGUAGUCC